CUAACAAGGAUUCCCUUAGUAACGGCGAGUGAACAGGGAUUAGCCCAGCACCGAAGCCUGUGGCCAUUUGGUUACUAGGCAAUGUGGUGUUCAGGUCGUUCCGCAGAGGCACUGCUCCACUCCAAGUCCAGCAAUGAGUACGGUAGUACAGACUUGGCCCAAAGAGGGUGAAAGGCCCGUGGGGGUGGAGAUUCAGGCAGGCCAGUGUCUCUCUGGGUAGACCUUGGAGUCGGGUUGUUUGUGAAUGCAGCCCAAAGCGGGUGGUAAACUCCAUCCAAGGCUAAAUACUAGCACGAGUCCGAUAGCGAACAAGUACCGUGAGGGAAAGUUGAAAAGUACUUUGAAGAGAGAGUAAACAGUGCGUGAAACCGCUCAGAGGUAAACGGGUGGAGUUGAACUGCAAGCCUUGAGAAUUCAGCUGGUGAGUUUGGUUUGAGCUUGGUCAAAUGGGUUGUACUCUGGGGUCUGCGUAGUAGCAGGUCUCUGCCCUCGGGUAGGGAUGCGCGAAGCGAUUAUGAAACGUUGUGCGCUCCAGUUGUAUACGGACCUGCUUGCCAGUGCACUUUCUCUUGGUGUUCACCACGACCGGCACUGCUGUCUGGCUGUUGUGGUUAAACCGGUCUUGCAUUGUCCUUGUGGCUUUGUUUGGUCGGGACGGCAGGUAGCUCGUUGGCUAGUCUGGGGUAACCUGGGCAAUUGGUCUUCGGGUGUAAUCAGCUGACCAUAAUGGUUCUGUGCGGUGUGUCGGAGACGGCGGCUUGUGGUGUGAGCGCGCGUGCCUUGUCUGCUGACUUGUUUGGGUUUGGUUGCUAUGUUGCUUGUUCUGCAAGCCUGGCGAUGGCCUGAGCAUGUUUGGCGGGCGGUUGCGUGUGUGACACUAAUUCAGGGCCAAUAGUCUGUGGUGUAGUGGUAGAC
rnacentral:rRNA from 1 species